GAUGAACGCUGACAGAAUGCUUAACACAUGCAAGUCGAUGGGGAAGUGGUGCUUGCACCAUGGCAACCAUGGCGGACGGGUGAGUAACGCGUAAGGGACUUACCUGCAGGACUGGGAUAACAGGGGGAAACUCCUGACAAGACCGGAUAAUGUCAUGGAGCUGCAUGGCUUUAUGAUGAAAGGAGACGCCUGCGGAGAGCCUUGCGUCCUAUUAGCUAGUUGGUGAGGUAAUGGCUCACCAAGGCGAAGAUAGGUAGCCGGCCUGAGAGGGUGGACGGCCCCAAGGGGACGGGGGUACGAGCCUUACGCCUACGGGAGGCAGCGGUGGGGAAUAGUGGCAGAUGGGGGCAACCCUGAUCAAGCACUUCUGGGUGCACGAAGAAGGUUUUCGGAUUGUAAAGUGCUGUCAGCAGGGAAGAAGUAAAUGACGGUACCUGCAGAAGAAGCGACGGCUAACUACGUG
rnacentral:rRNA from 1 species